rnacentral:lncRNA from 1 species
UUCGAGAAUGUAAUGUGUCUUACCACUUAACUUAACACGUAUGGUAACAAAGAUAUUAUUUGUAAUGCCUAAAUUUUGUUCGGCCCUUAAUAAAUAAAAGUCCAGUAUUUUUUUUACAAGUCCAGAACCAAAUAAGGUGGCCCAAAAUACAUGGCCCAAACUGAAAUAAAACAGGCCCAAAUACAAUGGCCCGAAAAAAUAAUAGAAACACUAGGGUUUCUAAGUCAUCUGCGCCGCAACCACCUAGCUCGUUUGCGCUGUAGCCGAAUCUUCACCUGCAAACACAAAAAAGGAAAGAAAAUCAAAUCAAAUCAGAUCAAAUCAAACAGAUUUCUUGUUUCUAUUAUUGUUUUAUUUUCAUUCGGCUAUAAAAGGACAUCGAAUACAUUGUAAUAGGGGAAAUUUUUUGGAGAAAUCAAUUAAAAAACAAGACACUAUUUCACAGAAACCGAUUGAAACGCAAAGGUUGAUACAUUUUCUCUGUUAUUUAUUUUCUUAUUUUAUAUAUAUACUGAUAAAAUAAAGGGAAAGGAACGAAGUAACCUUUAGGGGUGCCCAGAUCGCCGUGGAUGGCCGAGGAUGUUGUCUCCGAUGACAGACGACCGGAAGCUGAAAGGUUUCUCUGCUUUUGGGGGGCACUUUUGUUGAUAUUUUGAGAGAUUUGUGCCCGGAUUUAGGCUUAAGGGGGUCCAAAAGGUCAAGUAGGAUUUUUUUCCCUUUUUCGGCCACCGCAUACGGCGGCGCCAUCGCCGGAGAUCGGCGGCCGGCGCGGUGGCCGACAACCGGCCAAUGCCCGGACCCCUGGCCGGACGAACUAAGGGGAGAGUCUUUUUUUAGGUUUUUUUU